rnacentral:rRNA from 1 species
AUUGAACGCUGGCGGCAUGCCUUACACAUGCAAGUCGAACGGCAGCACGGGAGCAAUCCUGGUGGCGAGUGGCGAACGGGUGAGUAAUAUAUCGGAACGUGCCCAGUCGUGGGGGAUAACGCAGCGAAAGCUGUGCUAAUACCGCAUACGAUCUCUGGAUGAAAGCGGGGGACUCAGCAAUGGGCCUCGCGCGAUUGGAGCGGCCGAUAUCAGAUUAGCUAGUUGGUGGGGUAAAAGCUCACCAAGGCGACGAUCUGUAGCUGGUCUGAGAGGACGACCAGCCACACUGGAACUGAGACACGGUCCAGACUCCUACGGGAGGCAGCAGUGGGGAAUUUUGGACAAUGGGCGAAAGCCUGAUCCAGCAAUGCCGCGUGCAGGAUGAAGGCCUUCGGGUUGUAAACUGCUUUUGUACGGAACGAAACGGUU